CAGCAGCCGCGGUAAUACGUAGGGGGCAAGCGUUGUCCGGAAUUAUUGGGCGUAAAGCGCGUGUAGGCGGUCCGAUAAGUCGGUUGUGAAAGUCCAGGGCUCAACUCUGGAAUGCCGGCCGAUACUGUCGGACUAGAGUCCGGAAGAGGCAAGUGGAAUUCCCGGUGUAGCGGUGAAAUGCGCAGAUAUCGGGAGGAACACCAACGGCGAAGGCAGCUUGCUGGGACGGUACUGACGCUGAGAUGCGAAAGCGUGGGGAGCAAACAGGAUUAGAUACCCUGGUAGUCCACGCCGUAAACGAUGGGCACUAGGUGUGGGGGGUGUCGACUCCCUCCGUGCCGAAGCUAACGCAUUAAGUGCCCCGCCUGGGGAGUACGGCCGCAAGGCUAAAACUCAAAGGAAUUGACGG
rnacentral:rRNA from 1 species